CACUCCUACGGGAGGCAGCAGUGGGGAAUAUUGGACAAUGGGCGCAAGCCUGAUCCAGCCAUGCCGCGUGAGUGAUGAAGGCCCUAGGGUUGUAAAGCUCUUUCACCGGUGAAGAUAAUGACGGUAACCGGAGAAGAAGCCCCGGCUAACUUCGUGCCAGCAGCCGCGGUAAUACGAAGGGGGCUAGCGUUGUUCGGAUUUACUGGGCGUAAAGCGCACGUAGGCGGACUAUUAAGUCAGGGGUGAAAUCCCGGGGCUCAACCCCGGAACUGCCUUUGAUACUGGUAGUCUUGAGUUCGAGAGAGGUGAGUGGAAUUCCGAGUGCAGAGGUGAAAUUCGUAGAUAUUCGGAGGAACACCAGUGGCGAAGGCGGCUCACUGGCUCGAUACUGACGCUGAGGUGCGAAAGCGUGGGGAGCAAACAGGAUUAGAUACCCGGGUAGUCCCA
rnacentral:rRNA from 1 species